UCACUAGUAGAUGGACCUGCGUUGUAUUAGCUAGUUGNUGAGGUAACGGCUCACCAAGGCGACGAUACAUAGCCGACCUGAGAGGGUGAUCGGCCACACUGGGACUGAGACACGGCCCAGACUCCUACGGGAGGCAGCAGUAGGGAAUCUUCGGCAAUGGGGGCAACCCUGACCGAGCAACGCCGCGUGAGUGAAGAAGGUUUUCGGAUCGUAAAGCUCUGUUGU
rnacentral:rRNA from 1 species